ACCGAUUAACGUACCGUUAUUUACUACUGCGGAAAGAGAGUGGGAAACCUGUCGCCACUAUAUUGACCAAGAAGUGCUGAAAAGAGACAAAACUCAUUGCCCAAGUUGUGGGAAAGAACCUUUAGUCAGAUCUUCUGACGCUAUCGUAAAAUUGAGGCGCUUAAGCUCGGCUGGAAAAGUGCACAAUCCAGAAAACGAAAGAACAAUGGAACAGCCACAGGCGAGGUUUGGAAACUUAGUUAUCAAAUCCGAUACAGAAGUUGAAAAUUUCCGUCAAAGGAUUUACAACAAAGUUUCUACUACAAAAAAGAAACAGAUGUGUGGGGGAUCGGCUUUUAAGGCCGCAAGAGAAGACUCCAAUGAACAAAAGAAGUAUGACGAGACUGGGCUCGUCGUUAGCUCUUGCAAGCACUGCGUUGUACCAUACGCAAUCAACAUGUUUAAAGGUGAAUCGUGGACCCAUACUGCAUUUAUGCACAACGAAGCCAUGAAAAGUAACGCCAAAUUCUUCUGUUACGACG